CAACAAUAAUUACGUGUCUGCAUAAUCAAUAAGUGCAAUUCACCUUUAUUCCACAAAGUGGCACUGUUUAAAACAUAAUAAUGACGUGAUUUGUCACUCAUAAUUAGCUCAUGCAUAAAACAAAUAAUCAUCUACAAAAAUUGAACUGGCUUGAAUGGCUUUACUGCAGAGCAAUUACUGCACAUAAUGAAAUAUAAGUGUCACUGUCGUUUGAUGGUGGAUGUGGUGAAUAGCGAUCAAAAUGUUGUUUUUGAAGAUGUUGAAAACGAUAGUUUUGAGAAUAUAUUGAGAUCGUGAAUAUGAGCCAGAUGCGCUCUGAUGAUGGCAGUGAUGGUAAAGUCUGCUCAAAUCGAACCCUUCUAAGUUUCAAAAGGAAAAGAAAACCAUACAGGUUUGGUAUGACCGGACAGUGAAUAAAUAAUGACUGAAUUGUAGAAAUGAAAUGAGGAACACACACUAGCUUUAAAAAAAUUUCCAUCUUGACUCAAAAAGCCCACAGGUACGUUUUGCAGAUGUCUGUCUUUAAGCCACACUCGCUCAAUAUUGACUGACAGUGACAAGUGGAGGUCUGGGUGUUAAAAAUUGAGCUAUUACAUCCUACAUCCAGACUCGCAGAGAAAAUGGUCCGAAUUGAUUUUAAUGGGACGUGUAGGACUAUUAUUGAGUAAGGCUAAGGGUCCCUAGCACUUCGGUUACCCCUCUCCCUCAUUGAGUACAAUAGCAUACUGUUGAACCCACCCUCAACAACACCUCAACCUCCAAAGGUCAAGACACUCCAGCUCCAAGAACUGAUUUAUUGACUGACAGAGAAGCCUUUCACAUUUUUAACACCAGUAUGUUUAAACAUUCAUUCCUCCAGCCUUAAAAAGGCAAAAGACGUAAAGUUUCUCAUUUAUAAAUGUACAAAAGCCUUCCUUUGUAUUUAUGAAUUUUUUUUUGCAGUUACUACUACAGUUAAUGAUGUAGGCUACGCCUUUUUUCAACCUCAAUGGAAAAGUUAAAUUUCAGAUACAGAUAAAAAUGAGAAUGAAAAUCAGAACUGUGAGAUACAAGGUCACAAUUAUCUUUUUAUUUGAAACCACCACAGCACAGAUACGCAGGAGGAUUUAGUUUAGUGGCUGAAUUAAUAUAUUUGGUCAUCUUGAUACUGAAUAUGUUGCAUUUAAUUGUCAAUUAACUGCUGAUUUUCUAUAGUAGUUUCAUUUUGAGUGGAAGAGCUCCGGAGAACAUCUGCACUGUGUCGAUGCAAGCAAGGCAACUGCAAUGAAGCAUCAAGAAAGACAUGGACAUGCCAGCCACCCUGAGACUGAUAAUUCAUGAGAAGACAUUUCUGUCAAAGUGGAUGGUGAGCAAAGAUGGUGGCCACGUUUUGGAGCAGCACCUGGGUUUUGCAGAUGGCUAUGUAUUCUUUGGCUGCUUGUCUUUAUGUUUCUGUUGCCUAAAGAUUCUUUGUGAGGAUAAAUCACAACAAAAUGCACUGCAAACCGUCCUAAGACAGGAGAAAUGGUGAAGAUGCACUGUUCCAGAGU